UCAAGUUUCUAAGUGCACACGGUGGAUGCCUUGGCAUCUGGAGCCGAAGAAGGACGUAGUAAUCUGCGAUAAGCCUCGGGGAGUUGAUAAACGAACUUUGAUCCGAGGAUUUCCGAAUGGGGAAACCCCGCUGGGCGCAGCAAUGCGACUCAGUGACUCCCGCCUGAAUAUAUAGGGCGGGUAGAGGGAACGUGGGGAAGUGAAACAUCUCAGUACCCACAGGAAGAGAAAGCAACAGCGAUUCCGUUAGUAGUGGCGAGCGAACCCGGAUCAGGCCAAACCGAUCAUGUGUGAUAGCCGGCAGGCGUUGCAUGGUCGGGGUUGUGGGACUCUCACGAACUUCUGCCGAAGUUCACGUCGACUCGCGCGAUAUAGACGAAUGGUUUUGAAAAGCCAACCACAGAGGGUGCCAGUCCCGUAGUCGAAAUGUUGCGCAGGGGCGGAGAGUAUCCCAAGUAGCACGGGGCCCGAGAAAUCCCGUGUGAAUCUGUCAGGACCACCUGAUAAGCCUAAAUACUCCCAGAUGACCGAUAGCGGACAAGUACCGUGAGGGAAAGGUGAAAAGUACCCCGGGAGGGGAGUGAAAUAGUACCUGAAACCGUGUGCAUACAAACCGUUGGAGCCUCCUUAGUAGGGGUGACAGCGUGCCUUUUGAAGAAUGAGCCUGCGAGUUAGCGAUAUGUGGCGAGGUUAACCCGAGUGGGGUAGCCGUAGCGAAAGCGAGUCUGAAUAGGGCGAUUCAGUCGCAUGUCCUAGACCCGAAGCGAAGUGAUCUAUCCAUGGCCAGGUUGAAGCGCGUGUAAGAGCGCGUGGAGGACCGAACCCACUUAGGUUGAAAACUGAGGGGAUGAGCUGUGGAUAGGGGUGAAAGGCCAAUCAAACUUCGUGAUAGCUGGUUCUCUCCGAAAUGCAUUUAGGUGCAGCGUUGCGUGUUUCUUGCCGGAGGUAGAGCUACUGGAUGGCCGAUGGGCCCUACAAGGUUACUGACGUCAGCCAAACUCCGAAUGCCGGUAAGUGAGAGCGCAGCAGUGAGACGGUGGGGGAUAAGCUUCAUCGUCGAGAGGGAAACAACCCAGACUACCAACUAAGGUCCCUAAGCGUGUGCUAAGUGGAAAAGGAUGUGGAGUUGCAGUGACAACCAGGAGGUUGGCUUAGAAGCAGCCACCCUUGAAAGAGUGCGUAAUAGCUCACUGGUCAAGUGAUUCCGCGCCGACAAUGUAACGGGGCUCAAGCACGCCACCGAAGUUGUAGAUUUCGUGCAAUAGCCAGGCAUCCCCUUGAGGGGUGUCCAGGCGCACGGAGUGGUAGGAGAGCGUCGUGUGGCCAGCGAAGCGGCGGUGUGAACCAGCCGUGGAGGCCACACGAGUGAGAAUGCAGGCAUGAGUAGCGAAAGACGGGUGAGAAACCCGUCCUCCGAAAGACCAAGGGUUCCAGGGUCAAGCUAAUCUGCCCUGGGUAAGUCGGGACCUAAGGCGAGGCCGACAGGCGUAGUCGAUGGACAACGGGUUGAUAUUCCCGUACUGACGAAGAACCGCCCCAACUAAUCCAGUAGUGCUAAGAGUCCUAAUCCGGCUGACGGAUCCCUUCGGGGUGAAGCUGCCGGCCUAACGCUCGACCCCAUGCUGGUGCGGUUAGCGUAUUAACAGGUGUGACGCAGGAAGGUAGUCGGUCCAGAGCGAUGGUUGUCUCUGGCCAAGGCUGUAGGCCGGGGGAUAGGCAAAUCCGUCCCCCACGAGGCUGAGAGCUGAAGGGGAGUCCGUCAAGGACAAGAUCCGAUAAUCCUAUGCUGCCGAGAAAAGCAUCGACGCGAGGUUCUAGUCACCCGUACCCUAAACCGACUCAGGUGGUCAGGUAGAGAAUACCAAGGAGAUCGAGAGAAUCGUGGUUAAGGAACUCGGCAAAAUGCCCCCGUAACUUCGGGAGAAGGGGGGCCUAAGGUGUGACGGGAUUUACUCCCCGAGCACUGCAGGGCCGCAGAGACCAGUGGGAAGCGACUGUUUACUAAAAACACAGGUCCGUGCGAAGUCGCAAGACGAUGUAUACGGACUGACGCCUGCCCGGUGCUGGAACGUUAAGGGGACGGGUUAGUGCACUCCGGUGUGCGAAGCUCAGAACUCAAGCGCCAGUAAACGGCGGUGGUAACUAUAACCAUCCUAAGGUAGCGAAAUUCCUUGUCGGGUAAGUUCCGACCUGCACGAAUGGAGUA
rnacentral:rRNA from 1 species